rnacentral:rRNA from 1 species
UUGGAGGGCAAGUCUGGUGCCAGCAGCCGCGGUAAUUCCAGCUCCAAUAGCGUAUAUUAAAGUUGUUGCAGUUAAAAAGCUCGUAGUUGAACUUCGGGGUCUACCCAUUGGUCAGGCUUAAUUGUCUGCACUGGUGAGAUGGAUCUCUACCUUCUGAGGAACUUUCAUGCCAUUUAUUUAGUGUGAUUGGAAAUCAGGACUGUUACUUUGAAAAAAUUAGAGUGUUUAAAGCAGACUAUCGUCUGAAUACAUUAGCAUGGAAUAAUGAAAUAGGACGGACUGAUUCUAUUUCGUUGGUUUCUAGGAUCACCGUAAUGAUUAAUAGGGAUAGUUGGGGGCAUUAGUAUUCAAUUGUCAGAGGUGAAAUUCUUGGAUUUAUUGAAGACUAACUACUGCGAAAGCAUUUGCCAAGGAUGUUUUCAUUAAUCAAGAACGAAAGUUAGGGGAUCGAAGACGAUCAGAUACCGUCGUAGUCUUAACCAUAAACUAUGCCGACUAGGGAUCGGACGAAGUUAAUUUUAUAAUGACGCGUUCGGCGCCUUACGGGAAAC